AGAGUUUGAUCCUGGCUCAGAACGAACGCUGGCGGCAGGCUUAACACAUGCAAGUCGAGCGAGCCCUUCGGGGCUAGCGGCGGACGGGUGAGUAACGCGUGGGAACGUGCCCUUCUCUACGGAAUAGUCCCGGGAAACUGGGUUUAAUACCGUAUACGCCCUUCGGGGGAAAGAUUUAUCGGAGAAGGAUCGGCCCGCGUUGGAUUAGGUAGUUGGUGGGGUAAUGGCCUACCAAGCCGACGAUCCAUAGCUGGUUUGAGAGGAUGAUCAGCCACACUGGGACUGAGACACGGCCCAGACUCCUACGGGAGGCAGCAGUGGGGAAUCUUAGACAAUGGGGGAAACCCUGAUCUAGCCAUGCCGCGUGAGUGACGAAGGCCCUAGGGUCGUAAAGCUCUUUCGCUGGGGAAGAUAAUGACGGUACCCAGUAAAGAAACCCCGGCUAACUCCGUGCCAGCAGCCGCGGUAAU
rnacentral:rRNA from 1 species